CUGGUUGAUCCUACCAGUAGUCAUAUGCUUGUCUCAAAGAUUAAGCCAUGCAUGUCUCAGUGCAAGCCGCAUUAAGGUGAAACCGCGAAAGGCUCAUUAAAUCAGUUGUGGUUCCUUAGAUCGUACCCAAGUUACUUGGAUAACUGUGGUAAUUCUAGAGCUAAUACAUGCCGACAGAGUUCCGACCGCCGGGCGGCGGGCCCUCGGGCUCGUCGUCCCGGCCGGAAGGAACGCUUUUAUUAGAUCAAAACCGGCCCGUCGGGGCGCGCCCCCGGGCGCGUCUCGAUCGCGGCCCGCGCAAAGACCUGGUGACUCUGAAUAACUUCGAGCUGAUCGCACGGUCUCCGUACCGGCGACGCAUCUUUCAAAUGUCUGCCUUAUCAACUGUCGACGGUAGGUUCCAUGCCUACCGUGGUGGUAACGGGUAACGGGGAAUCAGGGUUCGAUUCCGGAGAGGGAGCCUGAGAAACGGCUACCACAUCCAAGGAAGGCAGCAGGCGCGCAAAUUACCCACUCCCGGAACGGGGAGGUAGUGACGAAAAUUAACGAUACGGGACUCAUCCGAGGCCCCGUAAUCGGAAUGAGAACACUUUAAAACCUUUAAACGAGGAUCAAUUGGAGGGCAAGUCUGGUGCCAGCAGCCG
rnacentral:rRNA from 1 species